UCCUUCGAGCGUCAACAUCUGCGACGCCCUUCCACGGAGCUAUAGAAGCCACGCCGUGAACGAAGCCGGUGGCAGUCUGCGACGCUUCUGCAGCGUGCACGGGCGAUCCGCGGACCUGUUUUUUCCUCGCUCCCCUUUGCGAUCUCGCUCCCAUCUGCGAUCAAGGUGACGCAAGGAUCUAAACUCAACUUUCCGGUAAUGGUAGAAGCCAGCGUGGGAGACUCAAUAAUCAGGCGAAUCUAGAAAAAGAAGAAUCGACAAUCAUGCGUCCAGCCCCGUCGACUACCAUCUAGACAGGUUCAUCUUCCUGUCACUCGCCGGAGGCGGAGACUUGGAGACCUGACGCUGCUCGCCGGAGUCUGCGAUCGUAUUAUAUAUCUAUGUUUAAUACAUGCCAGCCUCACAAGUGUGUAAAAGCUAACCUUCAGUCAUUUCCACGGCAGUUAUAGAAACAAGAAACAAUAAAAGUAUGACCUCAUCAUAAAUCAGGAAACAAUUAUUUUCGCCGUACACGUAGCCAUUUGUAGACUGAAAUUUCAGUCUACGAACAGCCUCCUAGCUGAGUUUCAGGAAAACAACCUUCAAUCAUUUCAACUCAGCUAGCUUCUGACCCGUACACGUUGCCAUUUGCAGACUGAAGUUUCAGGAAAACAAAAUGUUGAAUGUGUCCACCUAAAUGAUACAGUAUCAUCGUUGUCAGAGACAUAUCAUGCUGAGCUCGCUCUGCAAUCUAUGCUUGUGUAUCCACUCUUGCAGUUUCCUUGCGACCUCAUCUUAGUCAUUGCCGCCUGCAAUAGGAACAAUAUAACAAGAGAACAUUUUCGCAGAUAAUGUCACAUGUGAAAAAAAACUGAACUCUUGGAAUUUGUUACUUCCUCACAAGUAAUGACAUGCAUAGAUGCAAAAAUCUAGCUACCUUGUAUAUUGAGUGAAU